GAAAUUAACAUAUUUCCUCAACUAGGAUUUCUUAGGACUUUUAGUAUGUUGUUCUGGACACCUCAUAGAAAUGAUCUAUGGUGAAAAAAAUUCUUUUACAAUUAGUCUGUCGUAAAACGCUAUUUUGCCUGGACUAUUAGGUGCGAGGGCAAAAUAGCACUUUAUGGCCUUCCCAAGGCAGAGGAUGCCAGGGAACAGUGGUUAGAAUUUAUGUUUAAUAUGGUUCCGGGCUCCGGUACAAUCCAGUCAGAAGUUGUUUAUAUGUUCACGGCAUUUUCACAACCGUAUUGAAUUUGAAGCUGGAUUUGUGCAACGAUUUGUGCAACGUCUCCUCCUGAAAGUUGGAUUACCGUACACUUCUGGAUCACAGGCUGUAAGUAUCCAUGUUUAUUGAUUACCUUUUACGUUCCCGGAGCUUAACCUUUUACGUUCCCGGCGCUUAACGUUAUGUGCGUGUAGAGCGAUUCAUAAACUAUGUACCAUAUUUACCCACAUGUAUGUUGAAUUAUGCAGACUAUCCGUUGUUUUUAUUGUUUUAAUUAGUUUUUAGAUGUUGAUUUAGUCGUGUUUACAAACUCUAAACCGGUAAAGUUUGUUCUCAUGAUUAAAGUACAAAUGAUUUGUAUUUUACUGUUGUAUUUACAUGAAGCUUUCUGAGAUUUUGGAAAAAAGUAAACACGUCAUUUGUGUUGCUAAUGUUGGGGCAUGUAAUAUGUAAUACAUGAACGUUGAAAUGAAUAGUCUUAACGAUUUAGUGUCGUUGUACCCUAUUGUUAUAAUAUGUCUUUUUGACUAAUUACAUGUUUUUUUAUUUGUCUAUAUCCUAGAAUCGCAGCGGGACACAUCCUUCUACACUGUAGGCAGCAGUAGACAUGAUGUAUAAUGCCAAACAUGCAACAUCAGUGGGCACACAGUACGAGGAGUCGGACUGGCAUAUAAGAAGCAAAGGAACCCAGGCAGUAGCGUUGUUUCACAAUGUUUCCAUCACCAUCAUCAGUGGAUGCCUUACAUAGCCUGAUUCUCAGAUUUGCAGCAAAAAAAGGGAUUUUCCCAUUUAUUGGAAUGCUGUGCAGACUCUUGGUCCGGAUGUUCACAUUUGGAAAAUGUAGGGUCAUCAUGGACAUGCACAUUUUGAAGAUGGAUUAUCAAGGAGUUCCACUUGGCCACCUUCUCAGGUCCAGAAGUUGAAGAUGUUGCGCACC